GCAAGCUGUAAAAGCACCUUAUUUGUUUGUGUGGAGGGCACUGAUGCCACCACAGCACAAGGCCAUCGGAAAACCAAGUUCACAGCUAAAAUGAUAGGUGUGGAGGUGACAGCUACAGAUUCCAUUCUGGGGAGUGCGCAGACCCAUGUCAGCAAAAUUUCACCAAAUGAAUUGCAGAUGCUCUGCAGCGCCUGGCAGUUACGUGGUGGAAAGCUGAACUUCCACUCAUGCUGGGUUUUACAGGACGGAUAUCAAUCUGCUCCCUUAUCAGCUCAGCAGCUUAUCACAGCUGCACAGAUAGGAAAGGACAAGCGGAGCGUGCACGCGCCAAGAGACUGUGGCAUGGCAUGGAGUAGAAUAACCAGGCAAACCUCAGUCCAGUAGAAAAUGAAGUCAAACUUUCUAUAGUUCUUUGAAAGAGCAUUGCCAGUGGCUGAAUUUUAUUCUGUGGAAAAGCCAAGCUGAAAGCUUCUCUUAUUUGCACUGCUGUUGUGUCAGGGAUAAUCUAGAACUGGCUCCUAAUUGCUGCAUCGGUGCUUCUCCCAGCUCAAGGAGGAACACCGCUGCAGUUCCUCAUCUGUCCUCCCUGUGGCACCCACCUGGGGCCACUGGAAGGGACUGGCAGUGCCUGAUGCCAGCUACAUUUCUGCUUUUCGGUGCUUCCAAACAAGUAUCCCUCCAAGAUGCAAUCCUCCUACCUGAGAGAAGCCACCUAUACUCAUCAGUGUCUUUGUUGAGAUGUUCCUAAAGGAAACCUUCUCCAAAGAAAUAUGCAUCUCCAAAUAACACGUAACUCCAAAUAAAAGAAGUCUCUAUCAGAACUGUGCUCACCUGGUUGUUCUCCAGCACUCUACAGUACUCAUGCAUCAUGUCUCAGGCCAUGAUAACAUAUUCUGUUUGUUAUUGUUUAGCACCAGGAACAUGGGUUGUGCAACAACAAACACUGUCCCACUCCCAGACAGAGCAGCUCAACACCAUGGGUGGGCUGCAUCCCUCUGCUUCAGUUCCAGGCUUGCUGGUAGCAGUGAAAGAACCUUGUUGGGUUUGAGAAGCUCAGUAAUAUGGGCCUUAGGCCAACCACUGAGGCUGAAGUUAGAGCCCAGUUGGACCUGAUCGCAACAUGGUACAGGGGAAAUGCGUUUCCCUUUCAAGCCUUUGGAAUCAGUUCAUUCUUGGAAAGCAGUUCCUGAGACCAUAGGAAUUUAUGCACAUCAGGCCUUUCAUUGUCAGAUGGAUAAUUUCACACUGAAAACACUUUGACUCCCAAAACGUCGCUCCUUGAAAGUUUUCUGGACCUGGCAUGCAUUUGUCUUUGAAUCUCUCACUACUCUCUAGCCUUUCUCUAGUCACAGUAGUACAAGUGAAAGCUUGUCACUGUACCUUUUCACAAAGGUGUAUUCAUAAGAGUUUCCUCUACUUCAAUUUCUGUCCUAAAAUAUCAGCAGAUCUGCAAGCCCUCUUCUGAUCACAGGCUUAUGUUUCUGAGUUCUAGGAACAGGCUUUCUGUUUUGCUGCAUAUAAGGUUCUCCUGCCUUUAGUAACUGGGCACAUAGAAAAAGCCUCAGCAGAGUCAGAGAGAAGGUGAAAAGCUGAGAGGUGGUUCCUGGGCAUCCUCUGCUGGCAUGCCUCAGGGGCUUACAUCCGGUACACAAGGUGUUAUGGAGAUCCAGCAAGGGAUAUGCACACUCAUCCAAAGCCUGAUCUGCCUUGCAUACGAGUCCCACUUCCAGCAUUAGUCUACUUUUGCACUGGCCCCUGCAGGAGACUGUUGCUGCCUUUAGCAACCCAGUUGUGUACUUGGACAGCUCAUCAUGUUUGAGGAAGAAAACAACAGAAUUCAUGCUCUAAAUUGUACCAUUUGGAGAUCCCAAGGAUUUAGACGGGAUGGCUAAGCCAAGCAUCCUGAACUCCUAGUUAAAUUGAUGAUACAGGACACCAUCCGUGUCAGCUCGAAACUGCAUUCUAGAUCACAAUCAGUGACGACGCAUUUGAACCAACUUUUGAUGCAAUCUUUCAAGAAAAGAAAAAACCCCACACCAGCAUCCGCAAAAAACCAGAGGAGAACCACUGACGCAAAAGUCAUGGUACUUAAACACCACCUAGCUGUCCCCAUCCACAGCUCUCCAGCCAACAAGCAGCUUGAACACCAGCAUCUCACACAACUCCUGCUGCCCGAGCCACCACCAUGGAACGCCGAACAGAAAUCACAUUUGCGAUCUUCCUCUUCUGUUCACUGGUUCCUUUGGUCUCCUUGGCACCAAGAGCUGCCUCAGAAGAAGGGAAAACUACUAUAGGACAGAGGCAGAAGCAAUAUACUACCAGCAUAAAGCCCCUUCUAGUCCUAGAAAAGCGAGCAACUACCUUGUUCAAAAACUACAAUGGAUGUAGUCCUAUAACAGAAGCAACCAAAACCUGGCUAACUACUGACACCCAAGUCAAUGAGAUGAUGAAGAAAAUACCCAA